AGAGUUUGAUCCUGGCUCAGGACGAACGCUGGCGGCGUGCCUAAUACAUGCAAGUCGAGCGGACAGAAGGGAGCUUGCUCCCGGAUGUUAGCGGCGGACGGGUGAGUAACACGUGGGUAACCUGCCUGUAAGACUGGGAUAACUCCGGGAAACCGGAGCUAAUACCGGAUAGUUCCUUGAACCGCAUGGUUCAAGGAUGAAAGACGGUUUCGGCUGUCACUUAUAGAUGGACCCGCGGCGCAUUAGCUAGUUGGUGAGGUAACGGCUCACCAAGGCGACGAUGCGUAGCCGACCUGAGAGGGUGAUCGGCCACACUGGGACUGAGACACGGCCCAGACUCCUACGGGAGGCAGCAGUAGGGAAUCUUCCGCAAUGGACGAAAGUCUGACGGAGCAACGCCGCGUGAGUGAUGAAGGUUUUCGGAUCGUAAAGCUCUGUUGUUAGGGAAGAACAAGUGCAAGAGUAACUGCUUGCACCUUGACGGUACCUAACCAGAAAGCCACGGCUAACUACGUGCCAGCAGCCGCGGUAAUACGUAGGUGGCAAGCGUUGU
rnacentral:rRNA from 1 species